AGAUCUUUAGUUUAAUGGUAAAACGAGCAACCGAUAAUUGCUAGUAGAUGGUUCAAUUCCCUCAAGAUCUA
rnacentral:tRNA from 1 species